CGGGAAGUGGCGCAGGUGGUAGCGCAUCUGGUUUGGGACCAGAGGGUCGCAGGUUCGAGUCCUGUCUUCCCGACAA
rnacentral:tRNA from 2 species